CCUUCAAUAGCUCAAUUGGUAGAGCAGAGGAAUGUAAAUCCUUAGGUCGCUGGUUCAACUCCGGCUCGAAGGA